GAUGAACGCUAGCGGCAGGCUUAAUACAUGCAAGUCGAACGGGAUUCAGAUUAGCAAUAAUUUGAUGAGAGUGGCGCACGGGUGCGUAACACGUAUGCAACCUACCUUUAACUGGUGAAUAGCCCCGGGAAAUCGGGAUUAAUACACCAUAACAUUACUAAAAGGCAUCUUUUGGCAAUUAAAGAACUUCGGUUAGAGAUGGGCAUGCGGGACAUUAGCUAGUUGGUGAGGUAACGGCUCACCAAGGCGACGAUGUCUAGGGGUCCUGAGAGGGUUAUCCCCCACACUGGUACUGAGACACGGACCAGACUCCUACGGGAGGCAGCAGUAAGGAAUAUUGGUCAAUGGGCGCAAGCCUGAACCAGCCAUGCCGCGUGCAGGAAGACGGCCCUAUGGGUUGUAAACUGCUUUUGUCAGGGAAUAAAUGUAGGUACGUGUACUUACUUGAAGGUACCUGAAGAAUAAGCAUCGGCUAACUCCGUGCCAGCAGCCGCCGUAAAAC
rnacentral:rRNA from 1 species